rnacentral:rRNA from 1 species
AGAGUUUGAUCCUGGCUCAGGAUGAACGCUAGCUACAGGCUUAACACAUGCAAGUCGAGGGGAAACGACAUCGAAAGCUUGCUUUUGAUGGGCGUCGACCGGCGCACGGGUGAGUAACGCGUAUCCAACCUGCCCAUCACUUGGGGAUAACCUUGCGAAAGUAAGACUAAUACCCAAUGACGUCUCUAGAAGACAUCUGAAAGAGAUUAAAGAUUUAUCGGUGAUGGAUGGGGAUGCGUCUGAUUAGCUUGUUGGCGGGUAACGCUACCAAGGCGACGAUCAGUAGGGGUUCUGAGAGGAAGGUCCCCCANAUUGGAACUGGAGACACGGUCCAAACUCCGUACGGGAGGCA